rnacentral:rRNA from 1 species
GACGAACGCUGGCGGCGUGCUUAACACAUGCAAGUCGAACGGAAAGGCCCUGCGUUUGUGGGGUGCUCGAGUGGCGAACGGGUGAGUAACACGUGAGUAACCUGCCCUUGACUUUGGGAUAACUUCAGGAAACUGGGGCUAAUACCGGAUAGGAGCUCCUGCUGCAUGGUGGGGGUUGGAAAGUUUCGGCGGUUGUGGAUGGACUCGCGGCUUAUCAGCUUGUUUGUGGGGUAGUGGCUUACCAAGGCUUUGACGGGUAGCCGGCCUGAGAGGGUGGACAGCCACAAUGGGCCUGCGGUACGGCGCAGACGGCAACGGGAGGCAGCAGUGGAGAAUAUUGCACAAUGGGCGGAAGCCUGAUGCAGAAACGCCGCGUGCGGGAUGCCGGGCUUCGGGUUGUAAACCGCUUUCGCCUGUGCCGAAGCGUGAGUGACGGUAAUGGGUAAAGAAGCACCGGCUAACUACGUG